UUUGCAGUAGCGACUUCAUCGAGGAGGGGAUGAUGGAAGAACAAAAACACAGUUCUUGCAAGAAUGAGAACCGGAGAGAAGAUGAGGUUGGAGUUCAAGGACUUGGAUGGAAGGCCUAUAUGCGAUAACGCUCGCUAUUGGUCUAUAUAUUGGCAGCAUUGUCCGGAAAGGCGAGUUGGUGCCACAUCGUCUAAAAUAUUGGUCUGAUAUCUCCCAAUUCCAAUUGAACCAUAUAUGACAGUCUAUCUAAGUUCCUUUCGAGAGUUCAACAGACACUCCCAUUGAAGCCUAUAGAGAUAAGACGAUGCCACAAGAAGGCAUGAGAUAGGUGGAGAUAUGCGAACAAGAAGACUUACAUCGACCCGUAUAUUAAUGACGAGGACACAAUCAGAACAAACCCUCCUCAGAAAUUUUAUUACGAAGAUUGAAAUUAUUUGCUUGACAAUCACUACUUCACGUAUGAGUUUAAGAAAAAAAGUAAGACCAACGCUGACAACAAAAAGAAAUUGAUGUACCCCCACCACAUCGACAUCAAACCAUUUUCGCAGAAAGAACGAGAUAUGAUAAUUUUUAGUAUAAGUAUUCAAUUUACAUAAUAUCUAACAUAUGAUAUAUGUAUGUUAUUUGUACAAGAGAGGGAGAUGGGACAACCCCCUAGUCAGCAGAGUUCUUCCUACAUACACACACUAGGAGAGCGACUGCCGAUGAUCCG